UGGGGAAUUUUGGACAAUGGGCGAAAGCCUGAUCCAGCAAUGCCGCGUGUGUGAAGAAGGCCUUCGGGUUGUAAAGCACUUUUGUCCGGAAAGAAAUCCUUGGCUCUAAUACAGUCGGGGGAUGACGGUACCGGAAGAAUAAGCACCGGCUAACUACGUGCCAGCAGCCGCGGUAAUACGUAGGGUGCAAGCGUUAAUCGGAAUUACUGGGCGUAAAGCGUGCGCAGGCGGUUUGCUAAGACCGAUGUGAAAUCCCCGGGCUCAACCUGGGAACUGCAUUGGUGACUGGCAGGCUAGAGUAUGGCAGAGGGGGGUAGAAUUCCACGUGUAGCAGUGAAAUGCGUAGAGAUGUGGAGGAAUACCGAUGGCGAAGGCAGCCCCCUGGGCCAAUACUGACGCUCAUGCACGAAAGCGUGGGGAGCAAACAGGAUUAGAUACCCUGGUAGUCCACGCCCUAAACGAUGUCAACUAGUUGUUGGGGAUUCAUUUCCUUAGUAACGUAGCUAACGCGUGAAGUUGACCGCCUGGGGAGUACGGUCGCAAGAUUAAAACU
rnacentral:rRNA from 1 species